rnacentral:lncRNA from 1 species
CUAGGAGAGCCGGCCGCGAAGUUGGCCCGAGGAGCCCCACGCCCUCCCCCUCUCCUCCUCCGGACGCACUAGGGGGUGGCGGGUGGAAGGGGUUUCCCUAGUCUGCCCCGGGAUUGCCCAAGUGCGCACGUUCCCAUCCUCGCCUUUUCAUUCGGCCGUAGUUUCACCAGCUGCCUCCCUCGUGAGCUGCCAGCUUGGCGAACCCGUUGGUAACACAAGGAAGCUCUUUCUGGAUGCUUGACUGGUCUCCAGAUUCCACUUAAAUCUCAGUUACUAUUUGACCUCUGGUAUCUCCAUUAAAAGGUAUUUGUAGCUGGAUGAAGAAAUAAAGCUUUAAAUGAACAGCUUCCAUAACAGCAAUAAUUAUAGUAGUGACCAUAUACUGAGCAAUUACAGUGCACCAGGAAUAUGGCUAUGAGCACUUUAUACUUAUCUCAUUUUAUCCUCUCCACAACCCAAUGAGGUAAACUACCAUUAUUUUUACUGUAAUUAUA